rnacentral:rRNA from 1 species
ACAAGCAGUGGGAGCACCUUCGUGGUGUGACUGCGUACCUUUUGUAUAAUGGGUCAGCGACUUAUAUUCUGUAGCAAGGUUAACCGUAUAGGGGAGCCGAAGGGAAACCGAGUCUUAACUGGGCGUUAAGUUGCAGGGUAUAGACCCGAAACCCGGUGAUCUAGCCAUGGGCAGGUUGAAGGUUGGGUAACACUAACUGGAGGACCGAACCGACUAAUGUUGAAAAAUUAGCGGAUGACUUGUGGCUGGGGGUGAAAGGCCAAUCAAACCGGGAGAUAGCUGGUUCUCCCCGAAAGCUAUUUAGGUAGCGCCUCGUGAACUCAUCUUCGGGGGUAGAGCACUGUUUCGGCUAGGGGGCCAUCCCGGCUUACCAACCCGAUGCAAACUACGAAUACCGAAGAAUGUUAUCACGGGAGACACACGGCGGGUGCUAACGUCCGUCGUGAAGAGGGAAACAACCCAGACCGCCAGCUAAGGUCCCAAAGUCAUGGUUAAGUGGGAAACGAUGUGGGAAGGCACAGACAGCCAGGAUGUUGGCUUAGAAGCAGCCAUCAUUUAAAGAAAGCGUAAUAGCUCACUGGUCGAGUCGGCCUGCGCGGAAGAUGUAACGGGGCUAAACCAUGCACCGAAGCUGCGGCAGCGACGCUUAUGCGUUGUUGGGUAGGGGAGCGUUCUGUAAGCCGUUGAAGGUGUGCUGUGAGGCAUGCUGGAGGUAUCAGAAGUGCGAAUGCUGACAUAAGUAACGAUAAAGCGGGUGAAAAGCCCGCUCGCCGGAAGACCAAGGGUUCCUGUCCAACGUUAAUCGGGGCAGGGUGAGUCGACCCCUAAGGCGAGGCCGAAAGGCGUAGUCGAUGGGAAACAGGUUAAUAUUC